CAGCCGCCGCGGUAAUACGUAGGGUGCGAGCGUUAAUCGGAAUUACUGGGCGUAAAGCGGGCGCAGACGGUUACUUAAGCAGGAUGUGAAAUCCCCGGGCUCAACCUGGGAAUUGCGUUCUGAACUGGGUGGCUAGAGUGUGUCAGAGGGGGGUAGAAUUCCACGUGUAGCAGUGAAAUGCGUGGAGAUGUGGAGGAAUACCGAUGGCGAAGGCAGCCCCCUGGGAUAGCACUGACGUUCAUGCCCGAAAGCGUGGGUAGCAAACAGGAUUAGAUACCCGUGUAGUCCCUGUCUCUUAUCA
rnacentral:rRNA from 1 species